UACGUAGGGUGCAAGCGUUAAUCGGAAUUACUGGGCGUAAAGCGUGCGCAGGCGGUUUUGUAAGUCUGUCGUGAAAUCCCCGGGCUUAACCUGGGAAUUGCGAUGGAGACUGCAAGGCUAGAAUCUGGCAGAGGGGAGUAGAAUUCCACGUGUAGCAGUGAAAUGCGUAGAGAUGUGGAGGAACACCGAUGGCGAAGGCAGCCCCCUGGGUCAAGAUUGACGCUCAUGCACGAAAGCGUGGGGAGCAAACAGG
rnacentral:rRNA from 1 species